UGGGGAAUAUUGGACAAUGGGCGAAAGCCUGAUCCAGCCAUGCCGCGUGUGUGAAGAAGGUCUUCGGAAUGUAAAGCACUCUAAGUUGGGAGGAAGGGCAGUAAGCGAAUACCUUGCUGUUUUGACGUUACCGACAGAAUAAGCACCGGCUAACUCUGUGCCAGCAGCCGCGGUAAUACAGAGGGUGCAAGCGUUAAUCGGAAUUACUGGGCGUAAAGCGCGCGUAGGUGGUUCGUUAAGUGGAAUGUGAAAGCCCCGGGCUCAACCUGGGAACUGCAUCCAAAACUGGCGAGCUAGAGUAGGGCAGAGGGUGGUGGAAUUUCCUGUGUAGCGGUGAAAUGCGUAGAUAUAGGAAGGAACACCAGUGGCGAAGGCGACCACCUGGGCUCAUACUGCCACUGAGGUGCGAAAGCGUGGGGAGCAAACAGG
rnacentral:rRNA from 1 species